UGUGGAAGCAUAGUGAUAUGUGAAGCUGACCAAUACUAAUUGCUCGUGAGGCUUGACUAUACAACACCCAAACAGUUGG
rnacentral:rRNA from 1 species